rnacentral:rRNA from 1 species
UGCGUAGGCGGUUCGCUAAGUUGGAUGUGAAAACUCUGGGCUCAACCCAGAGCUUGCAUCCAAGACUGGCAGACUAGAGUUCUGGAGGGGGUAGCGGAAUUCCUGGUGUAGCGGUGAAAUGCGUAGAUAUCAGGAGGAACACCGGUGGCGAAGGCGGCUACCUGGACAGAGUCUGACGCUGAGGCACGAAAGCUAGGGGAGCAAACAGGAUUAGAUACCCUGGUAGUCCUAGCCCUAAACGAUGGAUACUUGGUGUAACUGGGAUUGAAUCCAGUUGUGCCGAAGCUAACGCAUUAAGUAUCCCGCCUGGGGAGUACGGUCGCAAGGCUGAA